AAAAAAAAAAAAAAAAAAAAGAGAGAAAAAGAGAAGAAAAAAAUGGAGAAAAAUGGCAAAGCGCUC
rnacentral:ribozyme from 1 species